rnacentral:tRNA from 1 species
UACAUUUUAGUAUACGACGUACAUGAAUUUUUGAUAUUCAAGGCAAUAGUUUGAUUCUAUUAAAUGUAA